ACCUUACAAACUGUAGGAAAUGCACCUGAGAAGCGUGAAAGUUGGACUCCGGUAGUCAAUCCAACAAGAUAAGCUGUUUAAAAGCCCGAAACCGAAAACUGGUAAACAACAGUCUUGAAGAAACAAACAUCACACUCUCUACAUAGAUCGCAGUUUAGAAAGAGAGAGAAGCAAGAAAAUGAAGCUGAAGAUAUACGCAGAUCGAAUGUCCCAGCCAUCACGGGCAGUUCUUAUCUUCUGCAAGGUAAACGGGAUAGACUUUGAGGAGGUGAAAAUCGACAUAUCCAAGCGUCAACAGUUAUCUCCUGAAUUCAAAGAGAUAAACCCUAUGGGAAAAGUGCCAGCCAUAGUUGACGGAAGAUUCAAGCUGUUUGAAAGCCACGCAAUCCUUACCUAUCUGGCUUGUGCAUUUCGUGGAGUUGCUGACCAUUGGUAUCCGGCCGAUCUUUCCAAGAGAGCUAAGAUUCAAUCGGUGUUGGAUUGGCAUCACUCGAAUUUACGAGAGGGAGCACGUAAAUAUGUUGUGAAUACUGCACUGGCGCCUGCACUUGGCCUACCCCUGAAUCCACGAGCUGCUGCCAAAGCAUCUAAGCCUUGUCUGUGAAAUAAUGCAACUGGAGGUUUUGGACGAGAAGGAUAGAAAUCGAAUACUCGGUCCUCGUAGGAAAGUUCAACAAUGGAUAGAGGAUACAAGAAAUGCAACAAGGCCUCACUUUAAUGAAGUGCACCAAAUCCUCUUUAAAGUUAAAGCAAAACUGGAAAAACAGCGAUCAAAGAGAGCUAUUAAUGAGACCGAAUCAAGCUCGAAAAUAACAUUGCACUCUAAGAUAUAGCAAUUCAUUGAUAAAUGAAUAAACAUUUCUGGGUUUAUCUUUAUCCUGUAUGGGUAUAGGCCUGACUCUGAGCCAAAGAUCAUUGAAAUUUCAAAGCUAAUAUGUAAAAAAUAAUGUAAUUCUCUGUAAAACGACUGGUUUAGAUAUCCUCUUCUCAAAUAAAGAGAUGUCGUUUAUCCUUUGCUUAUAA